rnacentral:rRNA from 1 species
UCCGGUGAUGAUAGCAUAGGGGGCACACCCGAUCCCAUCCCGAACUCGGAAGUUAAGCCCUAUUACGCCGAUGGUACUGCACGGGAGACCAGUGUGGGAGAGUAGGAAAUCGCCGGUA